rnacentral:rRNA from 1 species
UAGGUUAAUAAAUUGAUUGAGAUUGAUCCUGUCUUUAGUUUUAAAGUGAUUAGUUAUUUGAUAAUAUUAAAUAUAAGUUUUUGCGUGUUAGUUGAUUUAUCUUAAGGGUGAAUUAAUUUUAUUAUUUGUAGUUUUUGAUUUUGAAAAUUAUGGUAACAUAGAUUCAGUU